rnacentral:tRNA from 1 species
CGCAGGCGGCGAGGCCGAGCCCGGCCGCCUGGCGCGCGCCGAGGCCGGGGCGGUAGGCCCAUUCGGGCCGGUGCGAUUCCAGCGCCUCCGCC